GACAAGGAUAGCGCUGGAGACACUGAUCCUCUGUCACUCCCUACACAGGAAUUAUACUCCACUAGCUUCAAAGCGACCUUCUCAUUUUAAGGACCUGAAUACAAGGUCUACACUCAGCCUAGCUCUGCAUGCUAGCAUCUCCAGGAGCUGAUACAUUGGGUUCCUUGCUGCUCCCCUAACAAUGACAAGGAUGACAAUUCACUGGGUGACAGCUGCUUUCUUCCUGGGUGUUGGCUGCAAUGUCCUCGCUACUAAAGGUAAGAGAGCAUCUGGCAAACUGAGCAGGAGCUGGGAGAGUUUGUUACAUAUUGCAUGCAAUGUAAAACCUGCCUUGUCUACAGAUCCCUGACACACUCCAAUCUCC